AGUUUGAUCAUGGCUCAGGAUGAACGCUAGCGGCAGGCCUAAUACAUGCAAGUCGAACGGCAGCAGCACUUCGGUGGCUGGCGAGUGGCGCACGGGUGCGUAACGCGUAUGCAACCUACCUCUUACUGGGGAAUAGCUUCCGGAAACGGAAAUUAAUACCGCAUAACAUCCCGACACGACAUCGUGACGGGAUCAAAACUGAGGUGGUAAGAGAUGGGCAUGCGUCCCAUUAGCUAGUUGGCGGGGUAACGGCCCACCAAGGCGAUGAUGGGUAGGGGGUCUGAGAGGAUGAUCCCCCACACUGGUACUGAGAUACGGACCAGACUCCUACGGGAGGCAGCAGUAGGGAAUAUUGGUCAAUGGGCGAGAGCCUGAACCAGCCAUGCCGCGUGCAGGAAGACGGCCUUCUGGGUUGUAAACUGCUUUUAUCAGGGAAGAAAACGUCCAUGCGUGGAUAACUGACGGUACCUGAUGAAUAAGCACCGGCUAACUCCGUGCCAGCAGCCGCGGUAAUACGGAGGGUGCAAGCGUUGUCCGGAUUUAUUGGGUUUAAAGGGUGCGUAGGCGGCUUUAUAAGUCAGUGGUGAAAGACGGCAGCUCAACUGUC
rnacentral:rRNA from 1 species